CUCAGCUGGAAGUUCUCUCUACCAAUGGUACACAAUUAGAUUAGAAGCAAUAAUUAUGCUUACCAAAUGACACGUGGUACGCAGCUGGCAGAGGAGUCAGUUGCACACUGAGAGUUUCACUUUAUAAUCUCAGAGAUUAUUCAGGGCAUUGGGAAGUUAGAAACGGUUUAAACGGGGUCACAAGUUUGUUUUUCCUUGCAGGUAUUUUUGGAUUUUAGGCCAAAUUCAACUGGAUUUGGAUCCAGUGUAACAAUGAGUGUUUUUUUAUUCAUUCAUUCAAAAAUUCGUCAAGACAAAACGGGUUGUUGAACACUGUGUCUGUGGCUUGAUCCCAAGAAUGGAAUAUUAUUGUUCUGUAAGAAAUGAUGAACUCUGAUUUCAGAGAGACUUACAUGAGCUGAUGCUGAAUGAAGUGAGCAGAACCGGGAGAUCACUGUAUACAGCAACAGCAGGACUGUGUGAUGAUCAGUUGAGAUGGACUUGGACCUUCUCAGCAAUGUGUUCUACACGGAGAUAUGCUGCCUGGGGAGCAAUUGAGCUUCCUAGAAUAUGAAGAAUGGUUAUGAAGAGGAGAAGCUGUCACCAAACACACUUGGAGAAACUGGCUGCAGGGGUGAUCAGAGGGAACAAGUUUCACUGUCUGGCUUCCCCCCUGUGAGGAGGGACAGUUUUGGAGUCACCACGAGAGCCAAAGACAGAUCAACUCUUUCUUCCAAUCCAGUUCUGGGCAAAGUUCACUGGCCAUCCGUGGCUCCUCUCACAGGUUACUUCUACCUUCUGAAUCCAAUUCUCCCUGUGCAACAAGAAAACUGUUCGGUUCUGCAUACAUAUAUUGUAUCUAGGAUCUACUGUAACCUAUUUACCAUGUAAAGGACUGCUUGCCAUCUGGGGGAGGGGGUGGAAGGAGGGAAGGGAAAAAGCAGAACAGAAGUGAAUGCAAGGGAUAAUGCUGUAAAAAAUUACCCAGGCAUGGGUUCUGUCAAUAAAAAAUGAUUUAAAAAAAAAAAAGAGAGAGAGAGAAAAGAUCCCUGUUAUUGAUGCGUUUGUAUUUCAUUAAUAGGGAAAUAGCAUUUACACGAUUAAGUAUAAAUCAAAGAUAGGGAGGAAAGACGAUAAAGAAAAAUUACAUUAGGGAUAUUUGAAGAGGAAGAAAAAUUAUUAAUGAGAAAGAACAAGAGUAUCUAACAUUUAUUUUGUCUUUUAAGGCCUUCAAAAUGCUACACGUACUGUUUAGUCAUAACAACUGAGUGAAGAGGGGUUAUGAUUAUCAUUAUUUUAUAGAUAAGGAAGCUUUGAAUGAGAUGGGUUAAGUGAUUUACCCAGAGUCACGCAGCUAGUCAGAUUUGGAACUCAAUUUGCUGUGUUACUUAGCUGGUUAAAUAAAAUCCCCCCACUUAUUGUGGAAAGAUGGAGUCUGAAUUGAGCCUUGAAAAAUAAGGGUAAAAAGAAAAAAGAAAAACAAGGAUUACAAAAGGCCAAGAUAGAGCAUACUUGGGGGAUAUUCCUUUGUUUCUAUUAUCUGUGUCUGGGUAACCGCGGGGUGAAUGACUGUAGGCUGGAAGAGCCUUAGAAAGGUCAUUGAUUCCAAUCUAGCCACUCUGCUAAUGAGGAAGUUGAGGUCCAAAGAGAUGAAGCAUCUUGACUAAGAUCAUGUAGUUGUACAUGGUGGGGCUGGGAUUCAAACUCAAGUCCUUUGACUAAAAGAAGAAUUGUCAAAAUCAGGGCCACGAGCUUGACUUCAGAACCUGGGAAUGCGCCAGGACAGAUCAUUAGGGAGAGAAGGCCGGUGACAUCUGGGAGGGAAGCGGGGACUGGAAAGGCCCGGCCUGACUUUGUUAAGAACAAGUCGCACCAGACUGCCCUCAUUUCCUUUUGGAUAGGGUUGCUGGUCCGGGAGAGGAGGGGAACGCUGUGAUUAUAAUUUGUCUCGAUUUUGGCAAAGCAUUUGAUAAAGGCUCUCAUUCUGUUCUUGUAGAGGAGGUGGAAAAAUACAGACUAGAUGAUAAUGCAAUUAUUGUUAAGUUGUUUUUUCAGUCAUGUCCAACUCUUUGAGGUUUUCUUGGCAAAAAUAUUGGAGGAGUUUGACAUUUCCUUCUUUAGCUCAUUUUACAGAGAAGUAAACUGAGGCACACAGGCUAAGUGACUUGAACAGGAUCACACAGCUAAGGAUCUGAGGUUGGAUUUGAACUCGGGAAGAGGAACUCCAGGCCCAGCACUCUAUCCACUUUGCCACCUUGUCCUAGAUAACACAACUAGAUAGAUUCAAAUUUGACUCUAUGACUGGACUCAAAUAAUGUCAUUAAUGGUUCAAUGUCAGCAUUACGGUCUCUAAGGUGGUGCUCCAGGGAAUCUAUUUUUUUUCCAUGCUAUUCAACUUAAAAAAAAAAAUCAACAAUUUGGAUAAAG